rnacentral:snRNA from 1 species
GUGCUCGCUUUGGCAGCACAUGUACUAAAAUUGGAAUGAUCCAAAGAUUAGCAUGGUCCCUUCGCAAUCAUGACACACAAGUUCCAUACUUUG